rnacentral:rRNA from 1 species
AGCGUACACGGUGGAUGCCCUGGCAGUCAGAGGCGAUGAAGGACGUGCUAAUCUGCGAUAAGCGUCGGUGAGGUGAUAUGAACCGUUAUAACCGGCGAUUUCCGAAUGGGGAAACCCAGUGUGUUUCGACACACUAUCAUUAACUGAAUCCAUAGGUUAAUGAGGCGAACCGGGGGAACUGAAACAUCUAAGUACCCCGAGGAAAAGAAAUCAACCGAGAUUCCCCCAGUAGCGGCGAGCGAACGGGGAGGAGCCCAGAGCCUGAAUCAGUGUGUGUGUUAGUGGAAGCGUCUGGAAAGGCGCGCGAUACAGGGUGACAGCCCCGUACACAAAAAUGCACAUAUUGUGAGCUCGAUGAGUAGGGCGGGACACGUGGUAUCCUGUCUGAAUAUGGGGGGACCAUCCUCCAAGGCUAAAUACUCCUGACUGACCGAUAGUGAACCAGUACCGUGAGGGAAAGGCGAAAAGAACCCCGGCGAGGGGAGUGAAAAAGAACCUGAAACCGUGUACGUACAAGCAGUGGGAGCCUCUUUUAUGGGGUGACUGCGUACCUUUUGUAUAAUGGGUCAGCGACUUAUAUUCUGUAGCAAGGUUAACCGAAUAGGGGAGCCGAAGGGAAACCGAGUCUUAACUGGGCGUUAAGUUGCAGGGUAUAGACCCGAAACCCGGUGAUCUAGCCAUGGGCAGGUUGAAGGUUGGGUAACACUAACUGGAGGACCGAACCGACUAAUGUUGAAAAAUUAGCGGAUGACUUGUGGCUGGGGGUGAAAGGCCAAUCAAACCGGGAGAUAGCUGGUUCUCCCCGAAAGCUAUUUAGGUAGCGCCUCGUGAAUUCAUCUCCGGGGGUAGAGCACUGUUUCGGCAAGGGGGUCAUCCCGACUUACCAACCCGAUGCAAACUGCGAAUACCGGAGAAUGUUAUCACGGGAGACACACGGCGGGUGCUAACGUCCGUCGUGAAGAGGGAAACAACCCAGACCGCCAGCUAAGGUCCCAAAGUCAUGGUUAAGUGGGAAACGAUGUGGGAAGGCCCAGACAGCCAGGAUGUUGGCUUAGAAGCAGCCAUCAUUUAAAGAAAGCGUAAUAGCUCACUGGUCGAGUCGGCCUGCGCGGAAGAUGUAACGGGGCUAAACCAUGCACCGAAGCUGCGGCAGCGACACUAUGUGUUGUUGGGUAGGGGAGCGUUCUGUAAGCCUGUGAAGGUGGCCUGUGAGGGUUGCUGGAGGUAUCAGAAGUGCGAAUGCUGACAUAAGUAACGAUAAAGCGGGUGAAAAGCCCGCUCGCCGGAAGACCAAGGGUUCCUGUCCAACGUUAAUCGGGGCAGGGUGAGUCGACCCCUAAGGCGAGGCCGAAAGGCGUAGUCGAUGGGAAACAGGUUAAUAUUCCUGUACUUGGUGUUACUGCGAAGGGGGGACGGAGAAGGCUAUGUUGGCCGGGCGACGGUUGUCCCGGUUUAAGCGUGUAGGCUGGUUUUCCAGGCAAAUCCGGAAAACCAAGGCUGAGGCGUGAUGACGAGGCACUACGGUGCUGAAGUGACAAAUGCCCUGCUUCCAGGAAAAGCCUCUAAGCAUCAGGUAACAUCAAAUCGUACCCCAAACCGACACAGGUGGUCAGGUAGAGAAUACCAAGGCGCUUGAGAGAACUCGGGUGAAGGAACUAGGCAAAAUGGUGCCGUAACUUCGGGAGAAGGCACGCUGAUAUGUAGGUGAAGCGACUUGCUCGUGGAGCUGAAAUCAGUCGAAGAUACCAGCUGGCUGCAACUGUUUAUUAAAAACACAGCACUGUGCAAACACGAAAGUGGACGUAUACGGUGUGACGCCUGCCCGGUGCCGGAAGGUUAAUUGAUGGGGUUAGCGGUAACGCGAAGCUCUUGAUCGAAGCCCCGGUAAACGGCGGCCGUAACUAUAACGGUCCUAAGGUAGCGAAAUUCCUUGUCGGGUAAGUUCCGACCUGCACGAAUGGCGUAAUGAUGGCCAGGCUGUCUCCACCCGAGACUCAGUGAAAUUGAACUCGCUGUGAAGAUGCAGUGUACCCGCGGCAAGACGGAAAGACCCCGUGAACCUUUACUAUAGCUUGACACUGAACAUUGAGCCUUGAUGUGUAGGAUAGGUGGGAGGCUUUGAAGUGUGGACGCCAGUCUGCAUGGAGCCGACCUUGAAAUACCACCCUUUAAUGUUUGAUGUUCUAACGUUGGCCCGUAAUCCGGGUUGCGGACAGUGUCUGGUGGGUAGUUUGACUGGGGCGGUCUCCUCCUAAAGAGUAACGGAGGAGCACGAAGGUUGGCUAAUCCUGGUCGGACAUCAGGAGGUUAGUGCAAUGGCAUAAGCCAGCUUGACUGCGAGCGUGACGGCGCGAGCAGGUGCGAAAGCAGGUCAUAGUGAUCCGGUGGUUCUGAAUGGAAGGGCCAUCGCUCAACGGAUAAAAGGUACUCCGGGGAUAACAGGCUGAUACCGCCCAAGAGUUCAUAUCGACGGCGGUGUUUGGCACCUCGAUGUCGGCUCAUCACAUCCUGGGGCUGAAGUAGGUCCCAAGGGUAUGGCUGUUCGCCAUUUAAAGUGGUACGCGAGCUGGGUUUAGAACGUCGUGAGACAGUUCGGUCCCUAUCUGCCGUGGGCGCUGGAGAACUGAGGGGGGCUGCUCCUAGUACGAGAGGACCGGAGUGGACGCAUCACUGGUGUUCGGGUUGUCAUGCCAAUGGCACUGCCCGGUAGCUAAAUGCGGAAGAGAUAAGUGCUGAAAGCAUCUAAGCACGAAACUUGCCCCGAGAUGAGUUCUCCCUGACUCCUUGA